AUUUGUAUUUUGCCUUCCCGUCUUCGUUUUUCUUUUUGUUUGCGUUGUUAUGUAUCUCAUUUUUUUUUCUUUGUUUGCAGUGUUUUUCUCCUUCUCAUGAUGGUUUCUUGUGUGAUUUCUCUUAGUUUUUCUCCUUCUGAAGUUUGUAUGAUUUCUUGUAUUAUUUCUCUGUUUUGGGUGAUUUUCUACAGAAGUAGGUAGGAUUUGCAUUUCCUUCGUUAUUAGUGUCGAGAGAAGCUGAGAAUGUCACGAAUGCGGGGAAGUGCUACAGGACAUGGCAACCGAGAAACUUUCUUUUGAAUGGAGAAAGGUGCUUCAUAGAGGACAUACUAAUUGCAGUCCCUAAUUAUAUAAGCUGAACAACAAGAGAGAUUGGGCAGUAGUUACAAGUCACCGUAGAAAAAUUUUAGAACUGUUUUUGCUUUUUCAAUAUUUUAACUAAUAAAUUGAAUGUCUCACACACAUUAUAUAUACACUACUUGCAAUACCUAUUUAUAUUAUGCACAUCAGUACUAUUUUUAAAAAUGCACUUUCGGUGAACAAUGGUGAAGCAUAUGUGAAUUAUUUCACUUGGGUGUUGAAUUUAAAA